UACGAAGGGGGCUAGCGUUGCUCGGAAUCACUGGGCGUAAAGGGUGCGUAGGCGGGUCUUUAAGUCAGGGGUGAAAUCCUGGAGCUCAACUCCAGAACUGCCUUUGAUACUGAAGAUCUUGAGUUCGGGAGAGGUGAGUGGAACUGCGAGUGUAGAGGUGAAAUUCGUAGAUAUUCGCAAGAACACCAGUGGCGAAGGCGGCUCACUGGCCCGAUAACUGACGCUGAGGCACGAAAGCGUGGGGAGCAAACAGGGA
rnacentral:rRNA from 1 species